UAAAGAAGACCUGACAUGGAUGACUUCCAAUGAGAAACGACUGCUAAUACUUAUAUAAAUUCAUUACAGAAGGUAAGUUUAUAUAUUUAUACAUAUAAAUCAUUUUAUUUGACAUAACUGAACAGUUAACCAAUCUUUUUAGUAUAUGUAGUUUUGUACAUAUUAUGGUUAUUAAUCAGGCAAGAAAGUGACAUGACCUGCUGCCAACUUUAAUAAAAAUAUAUUAUCUUCUCAUACAUCGUUUUGCUAUUGAUAUCAUAUUAAAUAGCAAUCAAAUUGAUUACUAUUUUGAAAAUGUAUAAUUGAAGAUUCAUAUUGUCUUGAGUGCUGUUUUUAAUAUAAAAAGAAUGUUGAGUUUUCAGAGUCUUUAUUGUCAUUUUUUUGUGAUAGGACCCUACCAGACUAUAUUUGAAUACGGCAUACCCAUGAAUUCUGGAACUGUUCUUUCUUAACCCAGUUUGGAGGAUAAGAGCUUACCAACUAGUUAUAAAUAUGCUGAGGUGAUGUAUUGCAAAAUAGCCAACAUACAACAAUGAAAGGAUAAUUGCAGCCUAUAUCCUGAUGAAGAUAUGGAUGACCCUCUGUCUGGUCAACAGGAGUUUAAAUAUGGACGGGACAGUUAUGUGGCAGCUCUUCCCUGACUCAUUCACCUCUUGCCUUCAUUUGUGAAAGGAAGAAAGACUGGAGAGGGUCAAUGUGCAACUGAAGCUACUGAUUGUGCUGUGUGAUGAGCAUCAAUCCAUGCUUUGAGGUGGAUGGAUCAGCACAGCCCUGCCUGCUCUGCGUUGGGAACAAAAGUUGCAUCCAGAAUUUUUGCAUCAUUCUGGACCAAAAAGCCAUUCCCUCCAUGAUGAAGACCACUGAUGCAGCCUUCCACUACUGUACAGUAAAACAACUACAGAACUAAAUACCAGGUUGGAACGUGUUUAAGAAAAAUGAAACGUCUUUUGAAUUGAAAUGUCUGUUUUGUUAUGGAAAAAUCUUUAGUAUUGUGAAGGAUAAGCAUUUCUGCUUGCCGAUAAGGUAAUUGCAGUGUAUUUUAAUGUUCAAGUUUUGAGUAGGGUGGCUAAUUUUUUUUAACUCUUAUUUGAUUUAUUAAAGACCUUUAUAAUAAGUGGUUUUCAUGUCACUGCGCUGUGGUAUAAGAUAACUUUCAUUAUUCCAUACUGUAUUCUGUUUCUAGUUGUAUCUGAGGUAUUUAAAUUAGCAGUGUUAAAUGCUAAGUGUUGUGUGUAUCAAUGUAAAUAUUAAAUGUGAUUUACUUUAAUAAAAAGAGGUUUUGCAAUAUUUCUUGUCAUUUUUCUUUUAUAGAAACAACCCAUUAGCAACAAAAGUGGCUAUUACUCAGUAUUUUAACACUUAACAUUGUUGAAUUCACAUUACACUGGUGUUGACCUUAAAUUAGGAGUGUUAAUUUUUAACACUGUAUUUCUGUGCCAACACCAGUGUAGUGUGGAAACAACAAUGAAUAGUGUUGAACAAAGUGUAAAAUUUAACAAUAUUGAGUGUUAAAUUGACACAUAAUGGGUGUUGUUAAAUUAA